CUGUACGUGCGUAAUUUAAAUGAUGCGGCAACUCAGGGAUCGGAUGAUAGACUAUUGACGGCUCUGAGCUAACUGUUGCUGUUUCCUUGCACGAUUAUGUGCGUGUGAGGCACUUGCCUAAUGCGUAGUCGUCAGGGAGACAAAGUUGUGACCCUUGGUAACGGGCGAUUAGUUCUAAUCGCCCGCUAUAGCGGGCGAUUAGUUAGUAAUCGACCCUGUUGAAACAAAAGAAACCCGGGCAACUAUGCUAUUAAUCCAGUUAUC